UUCACAGAAGUCACUAGAGAAAAAGAGUAUUUAUGCAGGGCCUACAAGGAUGGGAAAGAUUUUGGCAGGGAGAAGCAGAGGGCUAAGGAGCUCUAGAAAGAUGAGUUUCCAAGUAUAAGCAAACUGAGGAAGCUGGAAAUGAGGAAAAUGGGGUGGUCAGCAUGGCUGAAGCUUGGGAAAUGCGGAGCGGAGUGGUGGCAAGUAAGCCACUGACAAAUUGCCGAGUUUCUUCAGAAGUAACGAGUGGGGCUUUUCUCUGUAGUAGCUGGGAACCAAAGAAAAUGUGUGCGUGGAGGCAGAGGCAGUCAGGGAUCUGAUCGGAAAGUUCAGUGUGCUGUCAGGGACGCCCAACACGAUGCCCUCCGUGUCUUCAUCUCUCCCUCUCCACCUCCUCAGUCCCUUUCCCUGGACUUCAUGGGAGCCUGUUGAGCUCAAAAGAUCCCCAAGAGCCAAGAUGCAAGCCUGCAGAUUUCAGGACAGCUGGUCCUGGCGCUGCUGGCUGCUCGCAAGGGCCGGGCCUCCUCAUUGCCGUCACCAGCCCCCGUUGGGCCUCAUCAGAGCAAGACCAGGCUCGGCUGAUGCUCGGCGCUGUAUUCCUUGACGCCUCCAUGAGGCUUGCUGCCCAGCAUGUCCCAGGCUUGCUGGAAAUGCUGAAGCUCAGGCUCACCUCAGACCCACGACUCAGAGUCUGUAUCUUUUCCAGAUCCUGGAGUGAUCGCAUGUGCACGUAUAAAUCGGAGAAGCUUUGGCUUCCAUAGCCUCUGCUGGCUGUAACUAAUCCUUCCUCACCCCAUACUGAGGGAAAAGAAAGAAGGGAAGGGAGGGAAAGGAAGGGAAGAGAAAGGAGAAGGAAGGACAGGGGGAGAGAGAGAGAGAGAAAGGGAAGGAAGGAAGGCAGGAAAGGAAAGAAGGAAGGAAGGAAGGGAGGAAGGGAGGGAAGGAGAAAGAGAAAGGAAGGAAGAACAGGAGGUUAGGAGAGAGGAAUGAAAGAAAGAGAAUGGGAGAGGGACAGAGGGAGGGAGAGAGAAUGAUUCUGUGAGUCUCUUAACUCUGGUCCUCCUGUUACACAUCUUUUCUUCUACUUUUCCUUUGUUUCACACUUAAGCUUUGAAGAUGUAAAGUAGGACCAGAGGGUGAGAAAUUCAAGAACCUUGAAAUAAAAGACCUUUCUGUUUGCUUUUCAUUUCCUAAAAAGGAAGUCCUCACUGACUGUUCCUGUAAGGGAUAUUAAGCUGUGUGGAUUGUGAGUGAUUCGUCACACAGCAAUUUGGAGCAGGAAGCACACGAAACCCUAGAGCUAGCCUGCACGCAACUAAUUGAAGCCCUCAAUUAAUCGGAUUGGCUUCCACCUUCAGGAGAAAAGCAAAUACUAAGAAAACAAAUUAGCACCUGGAAUUUAACAACUUCCCUUUUUUGGUGUGGGGGCGCAUUAUAUUCAGAGUACAUGAUAACUGAUGGCUCGUCUCAUAGGCACAGACAUCUUUACAAUCCUCUAAGGCAGAGUGGUGUGGUGGAAACGGAGUUGGCAGAGGCAUCAGAUCUGCCCGGGUUUCCAUCCCAGCUCCAGCAUGCAUGGGCCAUGUCGCUUGGCAAGCAGUCUCACCACUCAGAGCCUUGAUUUCAGGAUUAAAAAAAUAAUAACCUAUUCAACAGAAUCAUGGUCGAGAAGAUUAGGGGUUUGUGCAACUCCUCACCUGGUGGAUACUCAACCGGAAUGAGUUCUCUUUCUCAGUUCCUGCCUACAGAUCUAUAGACACUUAGCUUUAAAAGCUUUGAUUAUGGCCAGUUGCCUGGUCAACCUAAUACCAGCAGAGGAGUGUAUUUUCCCUACUAUGGUGGAACAGAGGUAAAGGUUUUCCAAGUUUGAAGCAAUCAUACAAACAAAAUAGGAGCCCAAAGACUUCUGCGGAGCUUUGGAAUGAGAGAUGCCCAUUCUGGUUUCAGAAACGCCAGCGCCAUCUCUUGGAGGAGCAUGAAAUUGUUUCCUUGGGCUGAAGAAGCAUCCAUGGGGCCCCAGAAAGCAAUGAUGUCUUCGGUGGUUGCAUCAAUGACCAAACAUGUAUAAUAAACUGCUUCUUUGAACUUGAGGACAUCUGAUUAAGAGAUAGAAAGCAAAACAAGCCUUCACAGAUGGUAAUAGUGCUGGGACACAUCACCUUUUGUGAAUAACUGAAGAGCAUAUAUUAAUAACAGAAAUCACAUUGGUGUGCCCUUACUGAGGAUCGACAAAGGAGAACACGUCUAUGUUUUGUGGAAACACGACUGAAGCCUUCAUCCAAUGACGUUGGCCGGCCCCGCUCUCCUCGUGCCAUCAAGCACUCUACGCUGACUCAGUAGAGCAGCACAGCCCUGUGUGUGGAGAGAUUCCCAUGCACCAUGGGAAGAGGGACCAAGCCUGGGCCCUGGAGGGCGCAGCCGGUGCAGUCUGCAGGAGGCUCUGUGUUUCAAUAACUGUGGUGUCCCCACACCCCAAGGGCCAUCUGUAGAUCUGCUGCUCCAAAGUCUCUCACAGUGGCUCUUCUUUGGAGGUCACUCUCCAGUUAAGUGGGGGACCAACUGCAAACUUCUCCCAUCAAUAUGAACUGCAAUAUGAUAUUGCAGCAAACAAAACACACACACACACACACACUCUCCCAGAAGCAUUUAACAGGAGAAGUGUGUACCUACACAUUUAGUCCCAAGAUCUCUUUCCAGGCCCUGUCCAGGUUCGUGGUGGAAGCCUGUCCUCUGCACACUGGCUUCCCCAAAUCUUCCCAUAUUCCAGAGCAGGGGAAUCCUUUCUCCAUCUUUUGGCUCAGAUCUACUGCGGAGUGUGGGAGAAAUAUUAAAAGUAAUGAUCCUUGAUGGUUAAAGCUGCCUUAUCAAGUUCCUGCCCCUGGGUUUAAAUAAAGUCUCUUUUUCUGCCAGCUUUAGAUAAGGAUGGAGGGUGAGAGAAACAGACAGAGACAGAAAGAGAGAGAGAAGAAGGGAGAGAGGCAGAGAAGCAAGGACUCUAUAGGGAAAGAAAGAGCUUGGACAUUAAUUCAUUUUAUGAAUAUUUGUUCUACUCUUCUUAAGAACAAGGUUUGUCCCAGGUGCCUUGGGGGCAAGAGAGAAUUUAAGGGGUGGCAAGGGGCCACUGUCCCGCAUCUUGGGGACGUUGUAGGCAGGCAGGUAGAGAUGUGCUAAGGUUCCCGGGUCCUGGAGAUGCCAGGCAAGUUGGAAAAUGCAGAAGAGGAGGCUGGGGUGGACAGGGGUCAUUUUGGCUGAAGCUGGUUAUGAGAGGCUUAGAAGGUGAAAGUGUCUGCUGUGCUGGGCCCUGAAAUGUAGGUCUUCUUGGCCACAGUGGGAAAGGGGAGCCCUAGAGGUCCUUGAACAGUCUGAGUGACAACACCUGGGCUGCCCAGCCCCAAAGGCCAAAACCAAGACACGUCUUUGUCCCAGAGGUUGGGCUUGGUGGCUGCAGCUGUGGAUGCUGACCCUUUCAUGGGCAUGGGGACAGGUGAAAAGCAGGAGCGAGGCAGGCAGGAGUGGGUGCCAGCACCAGCCCACAGCCAUGAGGCCUGUGCCAGGCCAGCCUGUGGGGACACUGGGUCCCCGAGAGAGACAUGGAAGCUCCCGCCAGCAGGAGACUUGAAGGUGGUCAGUUCUGAAGUCCUCUCCUCCUUAGGCCUGGACCUGGGGACACAGGCUCCAGCCAGCAGCAGGAGCCCAUGAAACUCAUUUGUCCCAAUCUUCUUCCCAAGUCUCAACAGCUUUCGGGGGGUUCUGUGACAGAUGCCCCACUUCCAGCUCCACAGCCAGCCCUACGCUAACUCUGACAGAUGAAAGGCCUCAGAAUCCCCUUCUUCAAUUGUACUGCACCCAACUUGUGGAAAGCAAAACAAUAUUAAAAAUACUUUUUAAGAAACUCUAGAAUAUAUUGUCAUCAAAGUGAUCACGGUUCUGCUUAUUUUUGGUCAUCGCAACCAAUGUACUGAGCCCCCUUUGCCCAGACCCUAGCAGGUCCUGAGUCUCAGCGUCCACAAAACGAGGCUAUGGCCCUUGGGGAGUUCCGUGCGGUGCCACAAUUGGCCUCUGAGUUACUCUAGAGUGAUAAACGCAGCCUUGGCAGUAAAAUACCAGAGAGGUAAUGAGUGCGGACUCCGUGCUCCCUCCGCAGGGGCAGGUGCGUGAGGCUCUAGCGCCACCUCGUGGGCCGUGGGAUUCGUGCCCAUCUCCUCCUGGGCGGGAGUUCCUCUGGAGCCAGGAACUCUUUGGGCUCAGGGUGUCUUUUUAGAAAAGCUUCUGACGUUGGUUCUUCUUUAGUGGACCUUCUCCGGUAAAACGGGGUUAACAACUCCAAACUUUUCCCCACCUAAAGGGAUUGAAAGGCUGUUUCAAAGGAAUUAGAGCUCUGAGACUGCAACCCACAAAACACACAAUAGCAUAUACACAGAGAUGCACAUAGAAACAUAGACACACAGGGACACACACCAGAGAUACACACACACACACACACGGACAGGCAGACACAGGGCCACAAACACAUACACAGAGAUACACACAGAAACAUAUACACACAGGGACACACACCAGAGAUACAUACACAGACACACACGGACAGGCAGACACAGGGCCACAAACACAUACACAGAGAUGCACAUAGAAACAUUUACACACAGGGACUCACACCAGAGAUACACACACACACGGACAGGCAGACACAUGGUCACACACACACACACAUACAUACAGUGAUAUUCAACAAGGGAAGGGUGCACCCACAGGCUCAGUCUUGAGACCUCUCUCCAGGCUCCUGGGUGGGUUGGGGAAGCUGAGCCUCCCUGCCUGCUCAUAGCACACAGCCUCCACAAAUCUUGCUCUAUUCCAGAGUGAGAAAGGAACGUUAAAACUGAUGAUCCCUGAUGGCCAAGGCUGCCUUAUCAAGAUCCUGUUCCCGAUUCAAUAAGAAAAGAUGCCUCUUGUGCCAGCAGCAGAUAAGGCUGCAGCCCUGGGCGUUCCCAGGAGAGCGAACAAUGGAAGCCCCCAGGAUGCCUCUAUAUGAGGUAGGAUGGUUACUUGCCCAGUCCCUGCCUGCCAGGCCCUUAUCUGGGAGGCGCUGGUUCGGGUUGCACCCUCCUGUGUUCCUAGCGGGGGCUGCUGCACACCAGGCUUCUGAGGCCUUCCUGGUGGGGGUUGGUGGAAUGGCGGCGGGGGGAGGGUUUUGACGGUGCAUCCUGAAGUGCUCCCUGCACCUUUCCCAGAAAAAGAAAAGGAUGCCAUGAAAACACUUCACCCUAGACAUGGUUUACCCUCGGGAAAGCUGAUGUGAAAGAAGUUCCAGGGGGCCAGGGAUAGAAAAGGAUUUAGAAAGAUGAAGGCAACAGACAAACGACACUUACAAAGUGCCCAAAGUCUGCAAGUCCUGAUAGUCACAGGGAAGGACAUCAGCUGGCGGGAAACCUCACCUUUUAGGCCUGCAUGUCAGUCUUGCACUGCUGAGCUGUGUGACCCUAGGCAGGCUACUUAAACCCUCUGUGCCCUGGCAUCUCCAUCUACAGAAUAAAGCUUCUAACAGCAUAGGCCUCACACACCUGUGUGGAGACCCCAUAAGUCGACAACAUGUGUUUACCCGAGGAAAUAAAUAUGGGUGCCCCUUUAGGCCUGUCCCACAGAGUUAUACAGCUGAAAGACCUCAGAGUAGGUCCACACCCCUUACCAAGUAAUGCAGGCCUUGAUUAAUUGCCACUUGAAGGGAGGUGGGGAGAAAGCACCCUGUCACAUCACAGCUAAAUUUACUAAAAAAGAAACUCUUUGCCCACUUAUCUUUCGAAAGUGCCUCACAGCAGAGACAGCCCCAACCCCUUCCUCUCUCUCCAGCCUCACCUCUCCUCCUAAAAUUCAGUUCCUCCUCACACUCUCAGUGCCUGGCCCCGGCCAUGCAUUAGAUGCCCUGAAGAGCUUUUGAAAAGGACCAAUCCCUGGGCCCUAUCUCAGGUGUGUCUGAGCAUCUGUAGAUUUUAGAAGCUCUGAGGAGGAUUUACAUGCAUUUAGGGUGGAAAUCACUUGUAAGUAAAUUUUUUUAACUGUUCCCUGUUAAAAAAUAUGAACCAAUGGACCAAUGGACCACUUAUGGCUUCUGCUAAUUCUCUUACAUAUGCCCAUGGUACCUUGUUGCAGUAUCAUUUGUAUAAUAAAAAGAUUGGAGCCAACCAGAAAGUCCAUCAAUGGGGGGAAAAUUAAAUAAAAUGUAGUUCAUUCAGCAAUGGAAUACUAUGCAGCUCUGAAAAAUGAAUCAGGAAGCUUUCUAUGAACAGAUGUGGAAAGUCUCCAAUGUAUAGCAUUAAGUGGAAAAAGCAAGACAUAAUGGUAGUGUGCACGUUCUAUAUUACAAAAAAUGUGAAUAAAGGCAGUUUAUAUUCAUGUUUUCUUGGAUAUACAUUUAAAAAACUCUAAAAAGAUACACAAAGAAUGGUCUAGUAGUCAUUAUAGGGGGUCUGGGAAGGCAAGAGAUAAUAUAUCAUAUUUUCAAAUUUUUGAAUUAUGAGAACAUGUCAUUCAUUCAAAAAUUGAAUGUAAAAAGGGUUAAGAAAGAGAAUAAAGCAAGGGCCGGGACACAUCUCCACUGUCUUCCCAUGGCCCUCUCAGAAGUGGAUCACACCUGGUGCUAGGCAGGGGGACAGAAAUUGCUGUGGCCUGAGCAGAGCCUGGGUCCAGCCAGCAUCUACACAGCCCACGUCCUCCCAGGGGAAUUUCUCUGUGCUCUGUUUUGAGGGGAUGGUCCUGGUACUGGAGUAGCAGAGCCAGGUCCCUGCUUCUUGCAUAACCCUGAGGCUGCCCUGUUUGCUCUUCUUGUGUGGAGGGCAUUGGCAGAGGCCUCUGGCCUGUAGAACCUUUGUGAGCUGAGCCACAACUCACUUCGAGCUGUUCUCUGCCCUGGCUUUGCUACCCUGAGGUCUCCAGUGCCAUCCACACCUUCCGUCUGCCACUGCCAACAGCCACAGGUGAUGGAUGGGGACCAUAAUGUGAGAGGAGAAUUGUGUACUGGAAAUCAGCAUGAAGGGAUAUCCAAAGACCUGGAGAAACCCAAAUCACAUGGGGAUGGGAGAGUGAAGACCCAAGGGAGGGAUGUGCGGCAAGACCUGCUCUGAGCUCUGAGGGUGCAGAUGUAAUCAAGACUGAGUGCUGCCCCACCAGACCUGUAGACGAACUCUCCUUCUGGUGAGGCAGUGAACCUGCAAGCACGGGAAGGUGGUGGUGGGUUGGGUGCCAUGGAGGAAAUGAGGAAGCAGGAGAUACACUGGGGGCCAGGUGGGGUUGCAGGUCUCAGCAGGGUGGGGCUGAGGUGGUGAUGGGUGAGGGAGUGAGCUGUGGAGUAUCCAGACAGGGAAAGCAGCAAGUGCAAAGGUGCUGGGACAGGAGUGGAUUUUGCGGGUCUGCAGGGCAGUCGGUGUACUGGGAGUGGAGUGGAUGAGGUAGGACAUGGAGGCUACAGAGUCUCAGAACCCGUCAGAGGCUGGUGUGCAGUCAGGUUCUGCAGGGCAUUGUUGGCCACUAGGAGGAUUACAACUUUUUCUCUUACCCCAAGUGGACUUGAAACCAUUGGAGGGUCUGAGGGAAGAGUGAUAUGGUCAGAUGAAGUUUUUAAAUCAUGUAUUUAAUUAUUCUAGUUGAUGUGUAGAGAAUGGAAUUGGUGAGGGAGGAGAGAGUAGAAGUAGGGGGACAAGUUAGGACUGAUGGGAGAUUGAGUUGCUCCUUGGCCGUCACAGGAUUCUGCAUCCUCUGCCUUUACCAUGGGCCUUGCCUGCCUCUCCCAGGGACAGAGUGUACCCCUCCAACCUUAUUGACUGCGCAUUUGGCCAUGUGACUUGCUUUGCCUCGAGGGACAUGAGCAAAGGCCACAUCUGAGCAGAAGUUUUGAGGGCCAUUGCCUGGUUGGCUCUUGCUUUUUUCCCUCUGCUCUGAGAAGAGGCAUUUCCAACAGGGGGUACCCUCCAGUCCAGGUCCUAGAAUGGGAAAGCCUAUGGAGCAGGGCUGCCACCGUGGCACACAGCCAUGACAGAGGUGGGAGUGAGAAUGAGAUGGCUGUCGUCGUAAGCCUUGGAGAUGUGGAGAGUGCUGACCGACACAGGGGCCCUUGGGGUACCAGACUACAGAGGCACUGCUGGAACGGUGUGAGGUGAGUUGACUUUGUAAUGUUUUCUGAACAGCAGAGCUACCCAAAUUGGAGUUUGAUGUAUGGCAUUAGGGAGAGUUUGAUUUGGUUUAGGGAUAUGUUAAGUUCGAGAUACUCAUUAGACAUCUAGGUAGAGGCUGGAGUUCCUGGAAAAUGUCAACUACAGGUACAACUUGGAGUCAUCGUCUCACAUUUGCAAACUCAAUAUAUGCAAAUGGUAUGAAAAGUCAUGAGGCUAUACGUGAUCAACCAGAGAGAGGGUGUAGAAAGAGGUGUCUUCUUAGGACCUGGGGCACUCCAGCAUGUGCAGAAUGGAGAUCUCAAAGGGCGAGUGAGCACUGACCUGGUGGUGGCAUAGGCAGGUGCAUGUCAGGGAGAGAGAACCUGUGUGCAAAUACAAGGAAGGUGAGUGACAUGGUUUGGCUGUGUCCCCACCAAAAUCUCAUCUUGAAUUGUAGCUCCCAUAAUUCCCACAUGUUGUGGGAGAGGGCAGGUGGGACAUACUUGAAUCAUGGGGGCAGUUCUCGUGGUGGUGAAUAAGUCUCGCGAGAUCUACUGGUUUUAUAAGGGGAAACUCCUUUUGCUUGGCUCUCGUUCUGUCUUUGCUGGCUGCCAGGUAAGAUGUGCCUUUUGCCUUCCAUCAUAAUUGUGAAGCCUCCCCAGCCACUUGGAACUGUGAAUCCAUUAAACCUCUUUUCCUUUUAUAAAUUACCCAGUCUUGGGUGUCUUUAUCAGCAGCAUGAAAACGGACUAAUACAGUGAGAGAGCAUGACACCUUCAAGAAGGGGGCAGAGGACAAACUCUCCAGCCUGCCUGGGCUCAUGCCCAGCACUGUGGCCCUUCUCUAUCCAGGAGCCUUCCCUGUCAUUAUGCACACCCUCAGUCACUGUCCUCUGCUUGGCAGCACCUCUCUGGACUCACGGUUUGUGGACCAGUUUGUUCUCAUUAAUCCCACGACUUAAAUUUCUAGCACCCAUGACACACAACCUUUCCCUCUCCUAACUCAACCCCUUUGUCACUUUCCCCCACUUCUGACGUAAAGGUAACCCAUCUUCCCCAAUUACAAUUUCUUGUGGCCCAGCCUUGCCCCAGUACCAAUUUUUAGGAGAUGAUUUUUGUCACCAUAGGUUUUAUUUUACUGUGAAAGGCAUAAGAUUUGUUUGGGGCUCUUCUCUCUCUAUGUCCACCUUCCCUGCCCUCAAGUUCACCAUGCUCCCCCAGCAUGAUCUCCAGUCUUCCCUAAUGGCUGUUGGCUCCACUUCCCUCCAGCACUCUAAGAGUUAUCAGCCUGCAGAAUUAUGAGCUGCUCAGGUCACCCUACAGCAAGUCACUCCUCCCACCCAGAUCAUUCUCCCUCAACCCAUCAGAGCAAUCCCUGGAAAACAGGAAGGUGGCCCUUCACUCCCUCCCCUGCCACACUCCCGCCUGGUAAUUCCACCAUGGCUGCUUUCAGCCUCACAGGGACCUCAAGUCCCUGGAUACUUCCAUCCAUGCCAUGAUGUCUGGAACUCUCAAGAAAUAUUUUGGACAGUUUAUCUGCCUGCUCUUGGAUUUAUUGAGCAGGGAAGAAACUCUGUAAGUUCACAUAUCUCUACUCUAUCCCUGACAAUUUUUUCUGGGACUGGAGAGGAACCAGAAAGGGAAUGGAGUUGGGGAUUGAGGAAAGAGGGGAGAAACAAGAGAAGGGAAUACCUUGGGCAGCUGGGCAAGAAGAAACAAAGCCACACCAUCCAGAGACAGGGAUUUUGGAAUAACUGCAAAGUCACAAAAGUAUUGGGAAGAUGACUUAAUGCCCUUGAAUUCAAGUCCUCAGACAUACACAGAUAUUGUGGUGAUCAUCAUAGCAAAGCUAGCCUUCCCAGGAAAGAGAAUGCCAGAGGUUUUCCUCAGAGGAGGCAUAGAAUUAGCCUAGCCAGUGACCAGUUAGCCAGUGACCAGUUAAAGGACAAGUGUUGACUUUGACUUUACCCCAGUCCACUCACGCUGCCACCCCCAUGCCCUACAGACCCAGCCAUGUCCUUGUGUAAAGCACACCAGGAGACACCAAAGGUAUCACAGAGCAGGUCCAAGUGGGACAUGGGUUCUGAAACCUUAAUGCAAACCAAUGGCAUGCUGGUAUCUGAUCCCACCAUGACCUUCAUCUCGAGAAAGGUGCCACGAGGCUGUUUCUUGAAAGGAAGUUUUGUUGACCUGGUUCCUAUACUGAAUAUGACCACUCACUACCUGGAUUUCUUUAGCCAUUUGGAAUAGGAGCAAGACCACAAGCGCUCAUUACCUUCCUGCAUGAAAUUACAUCUCCUGGGAGGAAGAGAGCCAUAAACAUCAAGGUGGGUGUCACCUGGUCUUAAUUUCUUGGCUUCAUUAGAAAAAUCUGAGAACUUGGAAUGACAUACCCACAGAGAACAUUUGGGUUUACAUAAACUAGUAUAUCCUUCAUGUAUAAAUACAUAGUUUAAUGUAAAAGAAUUGUGGGCCCAAACCAACAGUUUUAGGGUAUUUAAUUAGGAUAUUAUUCAAUAAGCACAAACGGCUCUUCCUAGGUCGGUAUUUGAUUCACCACUGAAAAAUUUGAAACUAGGAAGCAAAUCUCUAGAGAAGUUGCAUUUAUUAUUUUGGAGUAAUGGUAAACUUUGGGGAUUUGAUGAAAACGAUGGGCCAUCUCAUCAUAAAAAUUCACACAUACAAACAUUUUUUUCUAUGCAAUUUAGAGGGUACCCAGCCCUAGCUAAGAAUCUCUGAUCUAUUGAUUAAAAUUCUAAAAUAACUAAAAUAAUAUGCAUUUAUUUAUUUAUUUAUUUAUUUUGAGAUGGAGUCUUGCUCUGUUGCACAGGCUGGAGUGCAAUGGCACGAUCUUGGCUC
rnacentral:lncRNA from 1 species